rnacentral:rRNA from 1 species
CAAUAGCGUAUAUUUAAGUUGCUGCAGUUAAAAAGCUCGUAGUUGGAUUUCGGGUGGGAAUGGCCGGUCCGCCGUUUCGGUGUGCACUUGCUACGCCCACCUUGCUGCCGGGGACGUGCUCUUGAGUUCACGCUCGGGACACGGAGUCGGCGAGGUUACUUUGAGUAAAUUAGAGUGUUCAAAGCAGGCCUACGCUCUGAAUACAUUAGCAUGGAAUACCACGAUAGGACUCUGGCCUAUCUUGUUGGUCUGUAGGACCGGAGUAAUGAUUAAGAGGGACAGUCGGGGGCAUUCGUAUUUCAUUGUCAGAGGUGAAAUUCUUGGAUUUAUGAAAGACGAACUACUGCGAAAGCAUUUGCCAAGGAUGUUUUCAUUAA